AUGGAGACUUUAGCUGUUGAACGGUAUCUGUUUGAGCCUGAAUCAGAGGAAGGAUCUGAUGUAGAGGAGCAACCUGCCAGGAGAUUGGAAAUGACUCCUUCAGACUGGCGUUCUUGUGGAAACUAUGCACAUAUGCCUCAGGAGAGAGAAAAUAUAUGUUGUCUAUAAAUACCUCAGGUCAUGAGAAGAAUGACCCAGGUUCCUAAGGAGAUAACCUGUAUGACUCACCAUCCUGGCCUUCAUCCGGUGUGCCUCAAUAUAUAUUCUUUGCGAAAUGCAAUGAAUAUUUACAGAGUUGACCAUGGCCAGUUGAGAAUCAGAGGGAUGGAAAGG